AUUGAACGCUGGCGGCAGGCCUAACACAUGCAAGUCGAACGAGUGGCGGACGGGUGAGUAAUGUCUGGGAAACUGCCUGAUGGCGGGGGAUAACUACUGGAAACGGUAGCUAAUACCGCAUACCAUCGGAUGUGCCCAGAUGGGAUUAGCUAGUAGGUGGGGUAACGGCUCACCUAGGCGACGAUCCCUAGCUGGUCUGAGAGGAUGACCCGGCCAAAUGGAAAUGAGACACGGUCCAGACUCCUACGAGAGGCAGCAGGGGGGAAUAUUGAACAAUGUGCGAAAGCCUGAUGCAGCCAUGCCGCGUGUAUGAAGAAGGCCUUCGGGGUGUAAAGUACUUUCAGCGGGGAGGCGUUACCCGCAGAAGAAGCACCGGCUAACUCCGUGCCAGCAGCCGCGGUAAUAC
rnacentral:rRNA from 1 species